GCCUGGUUGGCUCAGUUGGUAGAGCAUGUGACUCUCGAUCUCAGGGUCAUGAGUUCAAGCCCCAUGUUGGGUG
rnacentral:tRNA from 1 species